GCUGUGGCUCAGCGGUAGAGCAUCUCUUUUGCAUACAGAAGGCCCCAGGUUCAGUUCCCAAUGGUAUCUCCA